rnacentral:rRNA from 1 species
CGGUUGAUCCUGCCGGAGGUCACUGCUAUUGGGAUUCGAUUAAGCCAUGCGAGUCGAGAGGGUUCGGCCCUCGGCUGACGGCUCAGUAACACGUGGAUAAUCUGCCCUUAGGUGGAGGAUAACCUCGGGAAACUGAGAACAAUACUCCAUAGGUCUAGGAUGCUGGAAUGUACUUAGACUGAAAACUACGGUGCCUAAGGAUGAAUCUGCGGACUAUCAGGUUGUAGUCAGGGUAAAGACCUGACUAGCCUACGACGGAUACGGGUUGUGGGAGCAAUAACCCGGAGAUGAUAUCUGAGACACGAUAUCAGGCCCUACGGGGCGCAGCAGGCGCGAAAACUUCACACUGUGCGAAAGCACGAUGAGGGAAUCCCAAGUGCUUGCACGUAAGUGUAAGCUGUUUCUCUGUCUAAAAAGCAGAGAGAGUAAGGGCUGGGUAAGACGGGUGCCAGCCGCCGCGGUAAUACCUGCAGCUCAAGUGGUGACCGUUAUUAUUGGGCCUAAAACGUCCGUAGCCGGUUUAAUAAAUGCCUGGGUAAAUCGUGUAGCUUAACUAUACGACUUCCGGGUAGACUGUUAGACUUGAGACCGGGAGAAGUUAGAGGUACUCCUGGGGUAGAGGUGAAAU